UACGUAGGGUGCGAGCGUUAAUCGGAAUUACUGGGCGUAAAGCGUGCGCAGGCGGUUUUGUAAGCCAGAUGUGAAAUCCCCGGGCUUAACCUGGGAAUGGCAUUUGGGACUGCAAGGCUCGAGUGCGGCAGAGGAGACUGGAAUUCCUGGUGUAGCGGUGAAAUGCGUAGAUAUCUGGAGGAACACCGGUGGCGAAGGCGACAUCCUGGACCGGUAUUGACGCUGAGGCGCGAAAGCCAGGGGAGCAAACGGG
rnacentral:rRNA from 1 species